rnacentral:lncRNA from 1 species
GUCUUUGAGAAUUAAAAUAGCAAGGCUAUGAUUGAAUUUGAUCCAUUUUGUUAGGAUCAGUGGUCUCUGGGAUACAUCUGACCUUAAUCUUCUAUGAAAGUGUAUCUAGGCAUACAACAUUGCCAUCCCAUAAUAACACCAGGAUGGUCCUUUUACUCUAUAGACACUUCAUGUUGGGGUGAGGAAUGCACACACUAAGAAAAGCAAGGGGGCCUUGAUUUUUAAUGAUAUGAUUAGGAAUAGCUAUCCCUCAUUGACAACUAGGCACUGUGUGUACAUCAAUUCUUACUUAAACCCAGAAGGCAGAAAAAUGCAAUGAUUUCUUUCAUUAAACCAAAGUGCUGCUGCAAGGUUGGUUGAAAUGAAGACUCCUCUGUGAGCUAGUGCUCCUGGAUUUCCUAGCUGCUUGGUCUUAUCUGCUAAUAUUUUUCUUUCCCUCAUGAACAGGGUUCUAAAACUUGAACUAUGGGAAGAAUUCUCUACACAGGGCCAGAUGCCUGCUGCAAACUCAGGAAUGUGGAGUGGGCCCCAAAAGCUGUGUGGUUAGCAUACAGUACUGGAGAUUCUGAGCUUACUGUCCUGAACAGCAUUUGGAGAAAUGCUAGCAAGGCCAUUCGCCCCUGAUUUACCAUUUCCACCACUGGGCCAGCAUUGAGAAACUUUGCUUCUCACAUCUGGGCCUACAAUAGACCAUUAGUUCCCAUGCAUAGAGUAUUAGCUGGAGUGUUUAUGUCAAGAGAUAGAAGGGAUACUGUGCAUCUGCAUCUAAGGAGCUAAAAUCCCAAAAUCUGAGCCUAGCUUUCUUCUCUGCUACUUGAAGUAAGAAGCAGGCAAUGUGAUCUAAUGCCUAAGAGAACAUAAUAGUAAACAGACCUGGCUAAUGAUUCCCAAGAGUUCAGAAAGGCCAAGUGUACAUGGUCCACUCAUGAUUUCACAGUGUGUGGAAAGUACAAAUGCAAAUACCACUGGCCUCUUUGAAUCUCAUUGUGCAGAAUGUAGGAUCCUUGAGCUUGGAUUGAGGCAGCAGAUUAGAGCACAGUCAGCUGGCUAGGCAAGUGGGUGUGAUCUGUCAAUCAGAGAUCCAGGUCAUGUGCAAAAAAACCCAGUUAAAAGUCCUGCAAUUUGGACCAAUUGAAAAGGGCUAUUUUCAGUUCUUACUAAAAUUCAAACAAGGUUUUGAUAGGACAGCCUAGAUCUGACAUCUGCCUGAGGACAAAACAUGGCCACCAUUAAGCUGGUAGCCACUAUGACAGUGGUAACAAACCUAUAGCACGUGUGUAAUUGUGUUUUUAAGACAAAAGAUGUUAAACCUAAAAACCUCAGUAUUCAGGUUUAAUUGUAGUGUUGAGACUUUGCAAUAAAUACAUGGGUUUGGGUUGCAGUUUGGCACUUAGUCCCUAAAAGGUUUGCCAUUACCGCACUAUGAGCUUCCUCAGUGGCCC